rnacentral:rRNA from 1 species
CAGUAGCGUAUUCUAAAGUUGCUGCAGUUAAAAAGCUCGUAGUUGUACUUCGGGCCGUCUUUUAGGGCGUGUUUUCUUCUCUCUUGCCCCAUCACUUUGUUGUUGGGGUGGAGAGAGCCGCCCCGGCCAUAAAACCUCGCGCGGCGUUUCGUGCUGGCAUUAAGUUGUCGGCGCGGCGUGUGCUGCGCGUCUUUUACUGUGAGAAAAGUAGAGUGCUUCAAGCAUUCCGAAAUCUUGUUUUUGUUGGAAACUGCAUAUUUCAGCAUGGGAUAAUGAGAUACGGCCGCCCGGUCCCUCUUUUACGAGGGGGAGCUUCUGUGUCAACUUGUUGGUUUGUUCCGGAUCGCGGCAAUGAUGAAUAGGGACAGUUGGGGGUGUUCGUACUCCGGCGUCAGAGGUGAAAUUCUUGGAUUGCCGGAAGACGCACGACUGCGAAGGCAUUCACCAAGGAUGUUUUCAUUAA